AGCAUUAGAAACAAGUGCAUUUACUGUUAUUUUCGUCGAACUGUGCAGUGCAAAGUUACAAUAUCGACAAUCUCUUACGCAUUUACUAGAAAUUUCUACCAAUAGAACCCGAACACCAAUAAAAUGCAUUAAUUUGCGAAAGUAAUGCAUUCCAGUUUACUAGAAAUGCGUUUGAUAAGUUUAUAAGGAGCUCCAGGCGACAGAUUAUAAGCGAUGAUGUGGCGAACUUUUUCUCCUGGCGUGGGACAGACUCCAAAAAGUGUGUAAGAGGACUUCGAACCACUUUAGCUCUAAGAAGUGCAUUUAAACAGAAGUUUGCGCUCGAGGAUCAGGACUUUGACCAUACAACUCAAAAAUAUUUUCAGUAUGCUCAGGAACGGAAGGCCAGAUUGGAAAAAAGUGAUGCGAAAAAACUUAAAUUGUAGUACAUAAUACAUAUAUGUACAUAUAUCCU